AACCAAUAGUGUGAUAGAUAGAGAUAAUAGCCAACAGUGUGAUAGACAGAGAUAAUAGCCAAUAGUGUGAUAGACAGAUGGAGAUAAUAACCGAUAGUGUGAUAGACAGAGAUAAUAGCCAAUAGUGUGAUAGACAGAGAUAAUAGCCAACAGUGUGAUAGACAGAGAUAGUAACCAAUAGUGUGAUAGAUAGAGAUAAUAGCCAACAGUGUGAUAGACAGAGAUAAUAGCCAACAGUGUGAUAGACAGAGAUAAUAGCCAACAGUGUGAUAG